GAUGAAGAACGCAGCGAAAUGCGAUAAGUAAUGUGAAUUGCAGAAUUCAGUGAAUCAUCGAAUCUUUGAACGCACAUUGCGCCCGCCAGUAUUCUGGCGGGCAUGCCUGUUCGAGCGUCAUUACAACCCUCAGGCCCCCGGGCCUGGCGUUGGGGAUCGGCGGAGCCCCCCGUGGGCACACGCCGUCCCCCAAAUGCAGUGGCGGUCCCGCCGCAGCUUCCAUCGCGUAGUAGCUAACACCUCGCGACUGGAGAGCGGCGCGGCCACGCCGUAAAACACCCAACUCUUCUGAAGUUGACCUCGAAUCAGGUGGGAAUACCCGCUGAACUUAAGCAUAUCAAUAAGCGGAGGA
rnacentral:misc_RNA from 1 species